UUUGAUAGUAGCUUUUUGGGCUUCCUGUCUCAUUGAUGACAAUUAUAAUGAUGAUAUAUAAAAUAUGGUUUGUUAUUAAUUAGUGAAGUUAUGAGAAUUGGAAGCUAAACAGAAAAUAACAUUCGAGAUUUGUUCAUUUACCAUCCAACUCUUCAGUUUUGCAUUAAAUCAUUCCAAUACAGCAUUUGUUCAUUUAGUGAUGCAUUUGUUUUAAAUUUGGCCAGAAGAACUUUUUUCUAAUUCCAUCUUCUUCAUGAAAAAAGUAUGUAAGUUGAAAUGAAUAAAGAAGCCUAGGAACACAAAGCCCACCACAGUUCGUCUGAUCAUCCAUUGCUCCAAACUAGGUUUUUUGGGAUCUUUUCAGCUUCAUUCUCAAUUUAAUUCGUCACUUCACCAACUCCUUUUAAUCCCAUUUUGAUGCAUCACCAUAUAAAGAAUCUCAUCAUGAAGACAUUGAUGGAAAAAAAUCACAUGAACUUUGGAGAACCUCCUGUCUACUCUACAAAAUGGAAGGUGUCAUCUUGGGACUGAAUCCGGUGGAGUGGGCUGGAGUUGGUAAAUCCUUGCCUCCAAAUAAUUCAGACCAUGGCUCGAAGAUCUGUCCUAAUAACCUGCACAUCUGUGGAAACUGAUGGUUACCAAAUAAUUAGAAGACCGGGCGUUGUUCAAAGAUGGUUAUGGAGUUAAAGUCGUCGAAGAUGGAUACUGCAAAUCGGAAGAAUUGGGAUGGCAUUGAGUCGUUCCUACAAGAGAUGGAGUAUAAAAAAUGUCUCGCGAAAUGUUGUUACAUACAUUUCUAUCAUUAGUAAUGUUUUAAGGCACAAAAUGCUUGAUGAUGCUUUUAGCACCUUAAAUAAUAUGGUCAAGCUCAAGAACAGAGAUCCGUAUCCAAGCACAUACUGGUGCGAGGAACACGUCUGAGAAGACAUGAUGCGAUUAAAGUUGGUUGGUGUUGUCCGGCUGAGCUUAUAUACAAUGGUAUGUUGUAUGUUGGUAAUUUGGAUGAUUCUAGAUUAAUAAUGGUAACAAAGUUGUUGCUGAUAAAAAUAUCAAAGUUUGUAUGUUGGUAAUUUGGAUGAUUCUAGAUUAAUAAUGGUAACAAAGUUGUUGCUGAUAAAAAUAUCAAAGUUAUCGAAAAAAUUUUCAUUUUAACUG